rnacentral:rRNA from 1 species
UAGUACGGCGAGUGAGCGGGAAGAGCUCAAGCUUAAAAUCUCCGUGCAAGUUUUGCGCGGCGAAUUGUAGUCUAUAGAGGCGUGGUCAGCGUGGGCGCUUGGGGCAAGUUCCUUGGAAGAGGACAGCAUGGAGGGUGAUACUCCCGUUCAUCCCUGAGUGGCUCGUGCGUACGACCCGUGUUCUUUGAGUCGCGUUGUUUGGGAAUGCAGCGCAAAGUAGGUGGUAAAUUCCAUCUAAAGCUAAAUAUUGGUGCGAGACCGAUAGCGAACAAGUACCGUGAGGGAAAGAUGAAAAGAACUUUGAAAAGAGAGUUAAAGAGUACCUGAAACUGCUGAAAGGGAACCGAAUCGUUUCCAGUGUCUAUAAUCCGUGGCAUAUUUCAUUGGCGAGUGUGCGCGUGCGUGUGCUGUGGCAGUGGCUUUUUUGGCUGCGCUCGGUGUGUGUGCUGUGUGUGCUUGCUGGUGCCCUGUGCUGCGGUGGGACGUCAAGGUCAGUUCGUAUGCUGCGGGAAAUGGCUGCCGAGGAGGUAGGGCUUACGCUCCGCGUUUGUCUGUUAUAUCUUGGUGGACGAGUCGUCGCGGUUGGGACUGAGGUGCCUACAACGUGCUUUUGAGUGGGUUUGUGUCUCCGUGUGCGCCGUGUGCGGAUAGCUUGCUAUGCGUGUGUGGUUGUGUGUGGAUUGAUGCGGGCUUUAACUUGUCGCCGUUC